rnacentral:tRNA from 1 species
GCUGAUAUGGCUCAGUUGGUAGAGCAGUACAUUCGUAAUGUGCGGGUCGUCAGUUCGAAUCUGACUAUCAGCU